UACGAAGGGGGCUAGCGUUGUUCGGAAUCACUGGGCGUAAAGGGCGCGUAGGCGGCUUUGUAAGUCGGGGGUGAAAGCCUGUGGCUCAACCACAGAAUUGCCUUCGAUACUGCAUGGCUUGAGACCGGAAGAGGUUAGUGGAACUGCGAGUGUAGAGGUGAAAUUCGUAGAUAUUCGCAAGAACACCAGUGGCGAAGGCGGCUGACUGGUCCGGAUCUGACGCUGAGGCGCGAAAGCGUGGGGAG
rnacentral:rRNA from 1 species